GUUCUUCUUCAAUUUCUUUCUUUAGUUGUGUAGUUUUAUUGUAGAAGUCUUUCACCUCUUUUGUUAAAUUGUGAAUCUUUGUUCUUACCUCAUGGCUAAGUUGUACUACACAGACCUAAUAAGCUCUCAUGGAUAUCUCCAUAUAAAUGUUCAUGUAUUCUUUCAAGACCCAUGGUAACCCAAGAUAAAUCCUCUAAAUCUAUGCCAAUGCACAAUUUAAAACAUAUUCCUUGCAUGACGAUUAUCUGCCAGACCAUUUUCCUUGAAUAUACUGAUGGGAAAAAAUGUUCUUCAUGAAAAGCUGCCAAGCAGCACGUGAAUUCACCCAGGUAAUUUUGUGUACUUUUUGGAAAAUAGGAGCAAUUAGGGGUAAGAUACAUUCAAUCAGCAAGGAAUUGGUUGAUUAUCAUGAUAGAAAUCUCCUUAGGAGAAUAAAAAAGUCAGAGUAGAUAAUUACAAUUAAAAAUCCACAUAGAAGCAUGUAUGAUGUGACACACAGAAACUCACUGUGUAUACUGAAGCAGAAAGAAUACCUUGACAUAAACUUUGUUAUGAUUUAGAUAUGAGGUCUUCCCCAAAAUCUCAUGCAUGAGAAAAUGCAAGAAAGUUUAUAGGUCAAAUGAUUGGGAUAUGAGAUUCUUAAUAUAAUCAGUGCAUUAGUCUUCUAAUAGGGAUUAGCUGGGUAGUAAUUAUAGGCAUUUAGGAUGUGACUAGAGAAGGUGGGACAAUGAGGGCAUGAUUUUGGAAUUUAUAUUUUGUCUGUUCUAAGGAAAGCUCUCUCUCCCCCUCUUCCUUGUGAUUAUGUCCUGAAGCAAUUUCUUGUACUACAUCUUUUUAUUAUGAUCUUCUGGCAUACCUUGUGCAUAGAGUAAUAGAACAAGCUGUCUAUGGACUGAGGCCUCUGAAACCAUGAGCACCAAAUAAACUUCCUCCUCUGAAAAUUUUCUUAUCAGGUCUUUUGGUUGCAGCACUAAACAGCUGACUAAAACAUACAGUUAUUACUGUAUUACUCAAUAGAAUCCAAAUAUAUUUCCCUCAGUACCUAACACUGAGGGAAAAUAUCUGAGAAUUUUACAUCUUCAUGAAAGAGUAUGGGAACCCCAGUCAAGAGUAUAUGUUUCUGACCUUGCAGAACAAGUUUCUCUAAUGUAUCACAGAAACCAUUCUUAAUGUCAUAUGGGUUUUUCUAAGGUGGGAUCUCAGGAUGGUGAAGAUGGCCAGAAUUUACCAGGGAAUACAUUUUCUGUAGCUGAGUGCUUGUUAUCUUUGAUAUAUCUAAAUACUGGGGAGAAUGGAAAUACCAUGUUAGAAAGAAAAAGAACUUAGGAUUUUGAAGGCGUUAAAGGAUUUUAGGAGUUGCAGGCAGAAGCUCUACCUCCCUAAGGCCCACAUAUGUUAAAACCUAGCUGGAUUGGAGGAAAACUUUUCUGGCCAGAGUAAGAGAAUAUUAAUUGGACCAAGCAAGAAAGGUAGGGGUCACUGGAAUUAUACUACACUUAUAGAAGUGCCACACAAACUAGGAAAUCAUGAGGAAAAUUGUCAGCAUGUACAGUGGGGGCAUCACAACAAAAGGUUGCCAUGAAAGCCUGAUGCCAUAUCUGAGACGUCCUGGUGGGAGAAUUUACCUGAUUUAAAAAAAAAAAAAAGACUUCUUUUCACGUAUGGCUUUCCCCAGAAGAGGGAAAUAAUAUAAACACAUAUUUGAAGCCCUGUCUUCAGAAUGGAAACACACAAAAGGAAGAUUGUGCCACUUGGGCAGAAAACAUUGUAGUAAUAUCUAGUGUGUCUUGGGUCCUCAAAAUCAAUGUUUUUGGCUUUAGGUUUAAGUGAAUCUACAAAUGCUUGGUGAGCUCUUAUGAAUAUCUCCAUAUAAAAACUUAUAGAUGCCAAAAUCCUUAAUAAAACUUUAGAAAAACCACAUUAAAAAACAUAUGAAGAAGAUGAUACACCAAGAUUAGGUAGGCUUCAUUCCAGGAUGCAAGGCUGGUUCAACAUACACAAAUCAAUAAAUGUAAUUCACCACCUAAGAGAAUUAAGAACAAAAUCAUCUCAAUGGAUGCAGAAAUGACCUUUCAUAAAAUACAGCACUCAAGCAUGUUAAAAACACUGGAAAGGGCCUGGGUUGUAUGUCAGUGGUAGAGCACUUGUCUAGCAAGUGUGAGGCACUGGGUUUGCUUCUCAGCACUACAUAUAAAUAAAUAAAAUGAAGGUCCAUCAACAACUAAUAAAAAUAUAAAAAUAAAUGAACACUGGAGAAAGUAGGGAUAUAAAGGAGUUACCUCAACAUUAUAAAGGAAAUAUAUGAAAAACUCAUAGCCAACAUCAUAUUAAAUGAAGGAAUAUUGAAAGCUAUUCCUCUAAAAUUAGAAACAAAAGAAGAAUAUUGACCCUCACCAAUUUUAUUCAAUAUAGUUUCUGAAACUCUAGCCAGGACUAUCAGGCUAGAGAAGAAAAUUAAAUGGAGAAAAAUCAGAGAAGUAGUCAUUAAACUAUCAUUGUUUGCUGGUAACAGAAUCUUAUAUAUAGAAAACCCCCAAAAUUCCACCAAAAGACUUCUAGAGAUGAUUAAAGAAUUUAAGAAAUAGCAGGGUACAAGAAAAAAGGCUCAUUAAAUUAAUAGCUUCUUUAUAAACAGCAAUUCAGCAGAGAAGAAAUCAUGAAAACCAUCAUUUGUAAAAAAACGUCAAGAAAAAAAUAAAAUACCUGGGACUUAAUCUACCCAAGGAAGUAAAAAAAAAAACUAUACAACAAAAAUCACUUAUCACUGAAUAAAAAGAUUAAAAAAGGCCUCAGAAAAUUAAAAGACCUCCAUGUUCUUAGGCAGAAUUAAUAAUGUCAAAAUAGCCAUACUACCAAAGCAAUAUACACAUUCAAUGCAAUCCCCAUCAAAAUACAAUGAAAAGCUUCAAAGAAUUAGGGGGAAAAAUGUCCUACACUUUGUUUGGAAGAAUAAAUGAUCCAAAUCAAUUCUGAGCAAGAAAAGUGAUUCAGGAGGCAUCACAGUAUCUUACUGCAAAUUAUACUGCAGAGCUAUAUUAGCCACAACAUCAUGGUACUGGCAUCAAAGUAGACAUAAAGCUCCUUAAAAAUGCCUGAAUUCUCAUUAGAUACAAACAUUACUUUGCUGUCAAAAGAAGUACUUUCUUUGGUUAGGAUUUUGUUUUCGUUCUUCAAAAAUAAUCUGUUAGCUCCUACCUUUUUCUUAUGUGUCUUGUCCUUUCAAUUACAUCUUGAACAAUCUUUUCAUAAAUUAUUUGGGGGAGAUCAAAAUUCAUGAAGAGAUUUCCCCCAUCCCUAGUAGAUGUGGGAAAGUAUGAAGACUUGGAGCCCAAGAGGCAAUAGGAGGGUAUCUUAGCAGAGAGAGUCAGCUUGCUUCAGAGCCCAUGCAGAAAAGGUGAGUAGAAACAGGGGGACCAGUAGGGAGUGAGGAGGGGAGGGAAAAUAGAAGAAUUGGGAAAUAAGGUUGACCAGAUUAUGCCGUAUGCAUGUAUGAAGACAUCACAAGGCAUUCUAAUUUUAUAUGUAAAUAUAAUGCACCAUCUAAAACAUGAAUGAAUAGAUGUGUAAAAGUGUUCUUUUUUCUCCACAUUCUCUCUAGCCUUUAUUAUUAUUUGUAUUAUUGAUGAUUCUCAUUAUAACUAGAGUGAGAUGAAAUAUCAAUAUAGUUUUGAUUUGCAUUCACCUAAUUGCUAAGGAUGUUGAAUAUUUUUUUCAUAUAUUUACUUAUUGAAUUUCUUCUUUAGAGAAAUGUCUGUUUAGCUUUUUUGGCUAUUUAUUAUGUUGCUUUUUUGGUGUUAAGUUUUUUGAGUUCUUUAUAUAUUCUGAAUAUUAAUUUAUAUAUAUAAUUUCUUAUUUUUAAUUAAUUUUUAAUUAAAAUAUAUAUUUUAGAGGAUUAGCUGAAAAAAUUCCCCCUACCCCCACUUUUUAGACUUUCCCCUUCACUCUUGUUUCCUUUGCUAUGCAGAAGAUUUUCAAUUUGAUGUUAUACAAUAAGUAAUUCUUGAUUUUAUUUCUUGAGCUUAGAGGUCUAGUUAAGAAAGUCAGGUUAAAAGGACAUAAUCAGAUCAUUUUAUCCAAAUAUUAUAUUUUACCCAAAUUAUGUUUAUAUCCAAUGAAAGAACUCAAUCCACAGCAGGUGAUCUUCUCACCUGGGACCCCACUGACAUUCACAGAGGCACUUCAUUUCUGCCCUGAACAGAUUACCCCUUGGCAGUGGGGUCUGGGAGUUUAGAUCCAGUUAAACAUUCUACUCCUAUUCUGUUUUCUUUCAGGACUGAUUUAAUGACUGUUUUGAACACUUAAAUCAUCUUUACUGUCCUUGAACAUAUCACAUUUAAUGAAAGACAAGAUCAACAAGGCAGAAAAAGAUCAGUAAAAAUAAUACUGAAAACAGGAGGACCUUGAAAUUUAAGUCACCGAGAGAAGAGAAAGAAAAUAAAACACAGUAAAAGUGGUUCAAAGGGGCCAAUUUCUUGGUGAAAAUUGAAAGAAAAGUUCAUGGAGAGGUUCUUAUUGAAAAAACUGACUAUCAGUCACAUGAAAGUUGAAGAGGGAUGAUUAGGAACUGGGAAUAGGGAAGGAGAAAGGGAAGGCAGGAGAAGAAAAAGACAGAAGGCUGGACAAGAUCCAUGUACCACACACGCCUGUGUGGGAAGGUCACAGAGAAAACCCAUUCAUAUGUACAAUUCAUAUGUGCUCACAGUUGCAUAAUAAAAGGGAAAAAACAUCUUUAAAAAAAACAACACUGCUAUAUUCAAAUUAAUCUUGUUUCAUCAACUAAAACCAGUUCAGCAGACACCUCUGAUGCCUGAUGGUUAUGGAGAGGAGAAAUAAGGGGCCCGGGUACUAGCAGUCCCUCCUGCUUCUGAUCAUCUCUGCAACAGCAAUAAUCUGAUCUGACUUGAAUGCAAAUGUACUGAAGCCAUCUGAGGUGCACUUUCUCAAUUUCCUCAUCAUUUCCUCCAAAGUUACAUAGCUCACUUUUUUCUUUCCUUUCUCCUCUAUCAUCAACAAUAUAUUUGUGUGUGUGUGUGUAUUUUGUACCAAGGAUUGAACACAGGGGCAUUCAAACACUGAGCCACUUCCCCACAACUAUUUAUAUUUUAUUCAGAGACAGGUUUCACUAAGUUGCUUAGAGCCUCGCCAAAUUGCUGAGGCUGGCUUGGAACUCGCCAUCCUCCUACCUCAGCCUUCCAACCUGCUGAGAUUACAGGCAUGCACCACCACCACACCCACCUAACAAUCCAUAUUAUUUUCAAAAGUAAUUUCUCAUUUAUGGCUUGUUCCCACCAGCUCUUUCCUCUUUACUCAGCAGUAAUAUCUUAGAUAUAAUUUCUAUUUCUUCAUCUCUUUGCUCCUUCUCAUCUGACUAGAUAACAAGCACAGAAAUAAAAACAGAAAGUAUGCUUUCCCUUGAUCCUGUCCUGUCUUCAAUUACUAUCCAAUGGCUCUUCAUCCAGACUUCUCUAAAGGGAAGUCUAUAGACUCUGGCUCCUCAGUGCAGUUUGAAGAUCAGCACUGGCUUCACCUGAGAACUUACUGGAAAUGCAGAAUGGCAGACCUGCUGAACCAGAAUGCAUGUUCUUGGCAUGGUCUACAACAGCUGAUUCAUUAAAGCUUCAGAGGUGCUGGUCUAUGAUGGGUCUGCUUCCAAUUCCUUUAUCUUACCUUUCUGGAAUCUGGUCUCAAGCUCCUCCCUAUUAUAUUCCCCCAGAUUGAAACUACAAAAGAAGUCCAAAACUUGCUAAUGCACUUUUUUCUUGUGGUCACUCAAUGGCUUUCCUGAUUUCUCCCUAACUGGUUCCACUAUUCUUUCCAAUUUUCUUUUAUUUUGGCCAAUAUAAUAACAUCCUAUGUAAUAGCAACAUUUUAUAGGAAAGUCCAUUCCUAUUGACACUGCCUCCUCCCAAGCUUAAUAACAACAGUGGGAUAGCUUUCCUCUAACUCCUUGAGUUAACAUUACCGCUAACCAGCUG
rnacentral:lncRNA from 1 species